AGAGUUGAUCAUGGCUCAGGACGAACGCUGGCGGCGUGCUUAACACAUGCAAGUCGAACGGUGAAGCGGAGCUUGCUCUGCGGAUCAGUGGCGAACGGGUGGGUAACACGUGAGCAACCUACCCUUGACUCUGGGAUAACAGUUGGAAACAGCUGCUAAUACCGGAUAUGACCCUGGUGGACAUCCACUGGGGUGGAAAGCUCCGACGGUCAAGGGAUGGGCUCGCGGCCUAUCAGCUUGUUGGUGAGGUAACGGCUCACCAAGGCGUCGACGGGUAGCCGGCCUGAGAGGGCGACCGGCCACACUGGGACUGAGAUACGGCCCAGACUCCUACGGGAGGCAGCAGUGGGGAAUAUUGCACAAUGGGCGAAAGCCUGAUGCCAGCAACGCCGCGUGCGGGAUGACGGCCUUCGGGUUGUAAACCGCUUUCAGCAGGGACGAAGGGUUUCUGACGGUACCUGCAGAAGAAGCACCGGCUAACUACGUGCCAGCAGCCGC
rnacentral:rRNA from 1 species